AUGCGGGCGUUCGCCGCCCGUGACUCUGCGAGAAGUCCAUUGAACCUUAUCAUUUAGAGGAAGGAGAAGUCGUAACAAGGUUUCCGUAGGUGAACCUGCGGAAGGAUCAUUG
rnacentral:rRNA from 1 species